GUCCCUUAGGGGACAUCUGAUAAAAUUGAUACGGUACAAAAAGAUCGAUAUGGCCUACGUACAUGGAUGACACACAUAAAUCGAAAAAGAAAUUAUUAAUCU